UACGGAGGGUGCAAGCGUUAUCCGGAUUCACUGGGUUUAAAGGGUGCGUAGGCGGAUAAGUAAGUCAGUGGUGAAAUCUCCGAGCUCAACUCGGAAACUGCCGUUGAUACUAUUUGUCUUGAAUAUUGUGGAGGUAAGCGGAAUAUGUCAUGUAGCGGUGAAAUGCUUAGAUAUGACAUAGAACACCAAUUGCGAAGGCAGCUUACUACACAAUGAUUGACGCUGAGGCACGAAAGCGUGGGGAUCAAACAGG
rnacentral:rRNA from 1 species